AACAUCGCGCACCUGCGGGAACCUGCGGAAGGAUCAUUACAGAGUUCAUGCCCUCACGGGUAGAUCUCCCACCCUUGAAUACUAUACCUUUGUUGCUUUGGCGGGCCGCUUUGGCUACUGGCUCUGGCUAGUAAGUGCCCGCCAAAGAACCCCAAAACUCUGAAUAUUAGUGUCGUCUGAGUACUAUAUAAUAGUUAAAACUUUCAACAACGGAUCU
rnacentral:misc_RNA from 1 species